rnacentral:lncRNA from 1 species
UAGCACUUGUUUUUUUCCUGAUUUCGGGGCAGCAUGCUUUGAAGGCACAGUUAAAAAUUUCCCUUUUGCAAAAGCUUCCCAGCAGCUUUCCCAGUGAGCCUGCAGAGCUGGGGAUGUAGGAAAUGUGAAGCAGAGCUCUCCCAGCCUUGGCGGGCACGAGGGGCUUUUGUUUUUCUGGGGGUUUUGUUCUGGAGGUGCUGCUGUGUUCCGUGUGACUUGAAAGCAGAGGGAGAAGGUGAAGCUGCAGCUCCUCAGAUCUGUCUGCUGUAUCCUGGAAGGCAGCAUGGGGAAACUCCACAGAAGCCCCAUGCGAGUGGUGCCUAUUGUUUCCAUGAGCAGAGCCUCCUCUCAGACACUAAAGCAGAGUGCAGUUCUGGUGUAGAAACUGAGGACAGAAAAGUAAGUGCCUUGUUUUAAUGUGAUUUUUCAGGCAGCUCUAGUGGCGGGGAUUUUCUCUGGUUGUUGUUCAGGGGUUUUUUUAUUAAACCAUGUGAAAUUAUUUUAUGGUUCUUAGCAUGUGUAAGUGCUCAUGUUGUAUUUUAACUUCAAUGGGGAGAAAUCAGUCUUACUCUAUUGAAUAUACUUGUUAAAAAUUUGAAUAACUGUUUCAGAAGAAGCAGAAGUGAAUUAUAGUACUAAUCUCUUUGUGCUACAAAAAAAAAGUUUACAAGGCAGUUGCACUUCUUAUUCUUAAUUUACAUUGUUAACAAAGUUAUUGUGAGUCUGUUAUGGUAAAGUUGGCAUACCAUGUUAAAUAUUUGUAAGACAGCAAGAUAAUUGCUUUUUCUUGCUUUAAAAGUAGUACCUUUGAAACCUUAUUUUUUUU